GACGAGCCGUGCGAACGUUAUUCGGAAUCACUGGGCUUAAAGCGCGUGUAGGCGGAUGGGAACGUCGGUUGUUGAAAGCCCCCGGCUCAACCGGGGAAUGGGCGCCGAAACGACCCGUCUGGAGGGACGUAGGGGGACCUGGAACUUCCGGUGGAGCGGUGAAAUGCGUUGAGAUCGGAAGGAACGCCCGUGGCGAAAGCGAGGUCCUGGACGUCUUCUGACGCUGAGACGCGAAAGCUAGGGUAGCGAACGGG
rnacentral:rRNA from 1 species